AUAAUUAAUAAUUUUUCGCAACCAAGUUAAGCAACUUGUAUUUAUUCAUGGAGAUAAGGAUUAAUAUAUAUACCCGUGAGUUUUACUGGCAAAUCACACCGAUUCUCAGUUGGAAAAUUGAUUGUUUAUUUCUGAGCUUAAUAUUAUCACUGAAAAACAUAAACAAAAUGCGCUUUACAAUUAUUUGUCUGGUGGCUUCUAUGGUUGUCUGUAUAUCAAUCGAAGCGGCGAAUCAAGGUAUAAAUACAAAAGGUACGAAUGACAAUAAGAUAAAUAACACGAAUAGAGCCGAUCAAACUACCAAUCAGAUGGCGAACUUGACAGCAAGUAAUGUGGAUACUAAAGGUCCCGCGAUAAAUAGGAUGUCUGUGACUCAAAAUUCGGAUACGGGAACAGAAAUGAAGCCCACGGUGAGCGCAAAAGGUACAAACACUGGACGCGCAGCUCAGAAUGCAUCUUAAUGAUUUCUGAGGGAAUGAUUAAGUUCUCACUGCUUUCGAUAAUUGCAAAGCUAUCCCGGAAAUCCGACGAAUUCAAACUUAUUUAAAGGAAUCUGUAGUAUGAAUAUCUCAAAUAAUAUUAUAUUAUCUUAUUUUCAAAAUUA